GGACAACCAGUUGCUGAGAGGCAAAGCUCAUCAUUUUGAAGGGCUAGGUGAAGGCCCAUUUAAUUUCCUCCAGGAGAAAAUGUCACCACCACCAUUGGAAGUCAUUAAAGAAGCAACCCAUGGCAAAACUAGUUAUUUUCUUAAAACAGUAGGAAGAAGAAAAGCUUUUUGAAUGAAUCACUUCUCAUCUUCUCCGAAGUUGGAAGCAUCAAGAAUCUAAAUAAGCAUUUAUGAUGGCUGGCAUGAAUAUACAGGUGAAGACAGAACAAGAAAACAAACCAAGAAUUUCCCCUCACCAGCCACCAGCUCUGCCAGCAACUUGAUCUUAGACUUCCCAGCCUCCGUAACGCCUCUGCUUAUAAUCUGUCAUGGAUUGGAAAACUAGAAAAAACAGUUUACAGAGUAUAACAAACUUUGGAGGAGUUAAUCGACUCUAAGUAAAAGAGUAUCUAGCACGGCUGUGGAACAAAGGAGAGACUCACAAACUGUUGAAAGAAUAAAUGAAUGAAUGAAUUCUGUUCAUGAGCUUUAAUAAAACAGCUCUGAGUAGUAACAGUGGAUCAAAUUUAGGCUUCUUGAUGCAGGCAUGGUGUAGAUUACUACUUCUGUAUUGUCCCAGGAGCUCAGCACAUUCCUGCAGAGAUGAUAGGAGCUCAUCUGAUACUUGUCAGCUUUGAAUAAACUCCAGUCCCCAAGAGAGAGAAUGAGAAUCACCGGAAUACGAAACUUCCCUGUUGGACUUCCCAACAUUCUUGAAUGCACCAAGAUAGCCUCUUGCUGUGAGAUUAAUAAAUGAAUAAAUGCCUCCAUAUUUUUCAAAUCUGUGAAGUUAACAACAUGUAGAUUUUUUUGCAUAUUUAAAAACUGCAACUAAAUCUUAAUGCCUCUGAAGCAGAUGGAAGAAAAUAAUAGGCUUCCAUUAACUGUGUCAAAUUGUAUAGGUCUUGGCCAUCACUGGUCCUGUUGUGAUGAAGGUUUUUUGCCCUUGGAUAUAAUUUAAUUUUCAAUUCUUCUAAUUAUGGUACUUCAGAACAUCAAUAUUUGAGAUGAACUUCUCUAGUGUCAAGGACUGAUUUGAGUUGUGUAAACCCUGAAUAUCUGAGACAGGUCUCGAUUAUUUUAGAAAGUUUAUUUUGCCAAGGUUGAGGAUGUGUGCCUGUGACACGGCCUCGGGAGGUCCUGAGGACAUGUGCUCAAGGUGGUCAGAGCACAGCUUUGCUUUAUACAUUUUAGAGAGACAUGAGACAUCAACCGACAUAUGUAAGAUGAACAUUGGUUCCAUCUGGAAAGGCGAGACAACUUCAAACGAGGAGGGGGCUUCCAGGUCAUAGGUAGAUAAGAGACAAAUGGCUGCAUUCUUUUGAGUUUCUGAUUAGCCUUUCCAAAGGAGGCAAUUAGAGUGAGCAAAAUGAACAAAAUCAAUUAUUUUGAUUCUGAACAAAAUGGGAGGCUGGUUUUCCCUAAGCAGUUCCCAGCUUGACUUUUCCCUUUAGCUGAGGGAUUUGGGGGGCCCAAGAUUUAUUUUUCUUUCACCGUUGUAUCAAACUACACAGGCGGCCUUGGAAACCAUCACAGUUGAGAGUAGGUAACGCCCAUUUGUUGCAUAGUUUUGUGCUCCACACUCUUAUCUACAAAAUUAUGAAUUUUUUUACAUAUAUUAAUUUCAGAAAAACUAAAAAUAAAACAAAGUAGUUUCAAACUAGUAUUGUUUUUAUAUCUUAAAAAUAAAGCUUUAUAUACUCUCCUUACCUCAUCAUAAA
rnacentral:lncRNA from 1 species